AAACACUUUUGCAAUUCAUCCACUUACAUAUUAUUUAUAUUCAACAUAAUAAAUAAUUUAGUGAAUAAAUUAAAUGAUAAAUUUAAUUUUUUUAAACAUAAAAAAUUAAAGAACAGCAUUCCUAUAUAAAUAAUACCAACGUUUGUAAUUUAGUAAUGAUAUUGAUGAAGGAGAAUUAUAAAGAUGAAAGGAUGUUGUUACUUUUUAUUUAUUUCGGUAUAUAAAGAAGAUGUUGGAAAAAAAACAACUAUAAGAAAAUAUGAAAAUUUUUCUAAAAAAAAAAAAAAAUUCUUGAAUUGAAGCCAUUUUUAAAUAACAUUUUCAUUCCAUUACUUGUAUACAGUCGGUCGGUAUUCAGGACCCGCUGAAGUUAAAAUGAAAAGCAAAACAAGAAAAAUCAGAAAAUUUCAAUAAUUAUAAAGCAUUCAACUAUAGAGCGCCACUUAUAUAAUAAGAAAAAAAAAAAGUAAGUAACGGGAGGUUAUGCUAAAAAAAAAAUAAAAAAAUAUGAAAAUUUCGAGAAAAUUUUUUUACACUUUCUUGAGUCCAUAAGAGGACUUUUACUGGCUGGUUUUUUUAAAAAGAAAAAUAAAUAUAAUUUUUUUUUU